GCUGCUUGCAAGGCAAACACCUCUGUGCUAUCUCUCCGGGCCCCCCUCUUCCAAAUUUUUAAGCCUCCUUGAAUUCCAGGUCUGUAAUCUUGGUGGACAAUACAGAGCUCUGUGUGUUCACUGUAAGGGCAGACAAAGACCAACAAGAUAAUCUUCCUACUUUUGAAUGAACUGUCUUUACUAGAGGCUGUUCUUCCAGUUGUCAGGGAGAAACUGGUAACUGGAGUGAGACAGUAGGGACUCGUAUAUUUGGGAAUCUGGGUAGGGCUCCUAAAGGACUUGGCUUGUGUUGUAACCACUGAGAGAUAAACACAGAUCUUUGGUAAUCUGAUGGCU